ACUACCAUAUUCAUAACCAGUUUCCCCAUGAAGAUACCAAACUUUAUAAUUACGUGAAAAUCCUCUCAUAUACAAAUGAGUCCAAACAUCAAAUUCUCUUAUAAUCCUAUUAUUAUUGCAAGUAGAGCAGGGACAUCUUAACAUACUGGUUUUUGCAUCCGGUUGCUGUUCAACAAGCUUCAUGAAUUCUCCAAUCCCUUGACCAUAUUCUUCCGUAAGUAAAUUGGUGUUGGGAUCCAUAUGAGGUUUAUCCAUCCACGAACGAUAAUAAACUCCUGAAGACAUGAUUUUCUCGGAAUUGUUGUGAUUAGAGAGAGUGAAGAGAGAAUGAGGAGUGAAUGAGUUGAAUGAGGAGAGGUUGUAUUUAUAGGAAAUUGCUUACGGCAGUCCGACGACAUUCCGACGACCCUAACGGUCAUAUCCGUCGGAAUUCCGUCGGUAUUUUCCUAUCUCAACGGCUAUAAAAUGGUGAUAUGUAUUUGUCGGCAACGGUCAAAAGGUUCGUCAGAAAUUCGUCGGUAUAUGCCGACGAACUUCCAACGCCAACGACGGUUAUAUUAUUGAUCGCAAGGUCGUCGGAAAGUCAUCGGUAUAUACCGACGAAUUUCAGACGAACGUAACGAUUAUAUAUUAAAUCGGAAUGUCGUCGGAAUUGCGUCGGUAUAUACCGACGCUCACUCUUUGGUCGGAAAGUCGUCGGUAUAUUCCGACGAAUUUCUGACAAAGUUGUAUUUUUUGGUUUCGUCGGAAUGCCGUCGGAAAAUCGUCAAAUUCGUCCGACGACUUUGUUGUCCGUCGGAACGUCCGUCGGAAUAUACUGUUUUCUUGAAGUGUAAAGAUCAAAUUCGAAACUCUAAACCCUAAUUUGAAAAUCGAUUUUGAUUGUUUGAAUUUAAAUCUCCAUUGAUUGUUUUGAUCACCUAGAACUGUUGCUAAGAUUGUUAACUCGAAUCUGAAUGAAUUGAAAUUGCUUUGCUUGUUUUAAAAUCUGUAAACCCUAAAUUACGUGUGCAUGGAUUGUUUUAUUUGAUUGAUUGAUUGUUUCUUUGAGGUUUAAAUCCGUGUGAGUUAGGAUUGAUAGUUUUUAUAACCUGAUUGAAUGAUUUGAUGUUUAAUAUUGCAUGUUAGAAUCUGUUAUAAUAUAAACCCUAAUUUUGAAUUGAUAAACCCUAAACCCUAAUUUGCAUAUUCCUAAAAUCAGAUUGUUUGAUUCCAUCUUGCUAAUAUCAGCCUUGAAAUUGAUAAAUAUCAGCCUUGAAACUGAUUAAUAAAAUUGAUAGAAUCAGUCUUGAAACUGAUUGUUUUGGUUUUUCAUGAUUGAAACCCUAUUUUUGGAUUGAAACCCUAAAUUGUGUAAUGCUUGAAUCCAUGUUUAUGUUAUGCGCAUGAUCUGAUUAUUAUCACCUUUGUAUGAUCUGAUCGUUUUAAAUUGAGGUUCCCUAAUUCCACUCCUGUACAUAUAGAAUCAGUAUGCUAGAUUUGCAUUAUAACCAUAUGGCCGCAUAAAAACAUAUAGAAAUUGCUUGUUUGGUCGAUACCCUUGCUUGAUAAAUCUGUGUGACUUAUUAUGCAUCAUAUAUCACUUUGGCUGUGUGGCUUGUUUGCUUAUUAGAAAUGUAUUGACUUGAUAUCAUGUCUUGUUUAUGGCCGUAUGUUAAAUAUUUUAUGAGAUCUAAAAUUGAUUGAUAUAUGAUUUGAGAUGUCGGAAAUCAACUUGGAUUUUGCUGUCCUAAAUCUCUCAGGAAAUAAUUAUUUGAAAUGAGCACUGGAAACUGAGUUUAUCCUAAAGUCAAAGAACUUGGUGAAUGAAUCACAAAAGACGAUAAUGCCAAAUGAGAAGGAUUGAUACAUGACAAUAUUAAUUAUUAGCCAUCAUCUUAUUAAAAGUCUCAAAGAUCAGUAUCUGACUAUAGAGAAUCCUCUAGACCUUUGGACAGAGUUAAAAAUUGAGAUAUGAUCACCAAAGAACGGUGUUAUUACCAAAUGCCCUAUUUGAUUGGAGGAAUCCGAGAAUCCAGGACUAUAACACUACAAGAAAUCAACGUCAAAGCCGAUGAAUUUUACCGACGACUUCUCUCCUCGGAAAGUUUACGACGGGUUUCUGAUCAAUUUCUGAGAACAUAUGAUUCUUGUCGGAAAAUUCUCGAAACUUUGUUUUAAAUCAAUAUUCUCGGUAAUUUGUCCUAAAUCGAUGUCGGUACGUUGUCGGAAACAAAAUAAAAUUGCGAGGAGCUUGUUUUCUCGGAAAGUUCCGAGAACAUGAUGUCGGUAUUUUCUCAGGCCAAUCAAAAUCCCGACGAUUAAUAUGCUUCUCGGUACGGCGUCAUAGAAACUGACAAACGUCCGUCGUUCUCUUAGUUCGUCAUGUCGGCAAGUGAACUUUUUCCAACUUUACUUGAACAACGCAGUCAUCUGAUUCAGAUUGAAUAGUUUCAGAUUUUGUUUUAAUCAAGUAACAGUUAUGAAUCUGUAAGUAAACUCAUUUCAGCCAUGCAUUUGUAAACAUUAAUCGAUUUCGUUGUGAUCCCAAAUCUCUAUUUUCCCAGUUCGAUAUCUCUUGAUAUAUUUAAAGAUGAUACAAAAUUGUAACACGUGGCCAAACUAGAUGUGUCGUUUAGAAAAGAAGGGUCUGGAUGCAGAGUUAUAAACUUUUUGUGAAGAUAAUAAAAAGAAAAGGAAAAGAUAAUAUAACGCACUAUAUCUACUAUUUCUAUCUUUAUCCUGCCCACUUAUCUUUUUUUUUCUUAUCUUCUCCUAUUUUCUUCAAUCUCUGUCAAAGAGUUGAUCUUCUGUUGCGCAACGGUGUAAAGCGAUAUCUUCACGAGCUUGUUCUGGAUUCGGUGGCCUCCUUGCAAUCGUUUUAUUUAGUGAUCUCUGCCGCCGAUUUGUGGGGUUUACUUCCGGUUUCGGACUGGGAAUUUGAGGAGGUGGUGCUUCUGCUGGUGAUGAUUCUUCCAAUUUGGUCCCGAUUUGUUUUCUCUUUGAACUGACACCACUGCCGCUUCAACACCUUGCACCGCCACCAUCACCACCGAAACUCCCUCCACCGCCAUUGCUGCUACUCCACCUCCACCAUCACGGCGACCUUUGCACUCUACACCACACCGCCGCAUCUCAACGACUAUUAGAUUAUAAGUUUUAUUUUUGUUUUCGUUUAAUUUUAUAGAACUUUUUUAAUUUCUUUAUUUGUAAUAUAUAUUUGAUAAUUUAAAUAUUAUUGUGAGUUUUAUUUA